rnacentral:rRNA from 1 species
AUCAGACCGCCUGGGGAGUACGGCCGCAAGGUUAAAACUCAAAUGAAUUGACGGGGGCCCGCACAAGCGGUGGAGCAUGUGGUUUAAUUCGAUGCAACGCGAAGAACCUUACCUACUCUUGACAUCCAGCGAAUCCUUUAGAGAUAGAGGAGUGCCUUCGGGAACGCUGAGACAGGUGCUGCAUGGCUGUCGUCAGCUCGUGUUGUGAAAUGUUGGGUUAAGUCCCGCAACGAGCGCAACCCUUAUCCUUUGUUGCCAGCGCGUAAUGGCGGGAACUCAAAGGAAACUGCCGGUGAUAAACCGGAGGAAGGUGGGGAUGACGUCAAGUCAUCAUGGCCCUUACAAGUAGGGCUACACACGUGCUACAAUGGCAGAUACAAAAAGAACCGACCUCCCAAGAGCAAGCGGAACUCAUAAAGUCUGUCGUAUUCCGGAUUGGAGUCUGCAACUCGACUCCUUGAAGUCGGAAUCGCUAGUAAUCGUAAAUCAAAAUGCUACGGUGAAUACUUUCCCGGGCCUUGUACCCCCCGCCCGUCACACCAUGGAAUUGGGUUGCAAAAAAAGUAGGUAGCUUAACCUUCGGGAGGGCGCUUACCACUUUGUGAUUCAUGACUGGGGUGAAGUCUACAAGGGGGUAACCCCAA